AUACGUAGGUGACAAGCGUUAUCCGGAUUUACUGGGUGUAAAGGGCGUGUAGGCGGUUUAGCAAGUCAGAAGUGAAAUUCCCGGGCUUAACUUGGGCGCUGCUUCUGAAACUGCUUUACUUGAGUGCUGGAGAGGAUAGUGGAAUUCCUAGUGUAGCGGUAAAAUGCGCAGAUAUUAGGAGGAACACCGGUGGCGAAGGCGGCUAUCUGGACAGUAACUGACGCUGAGGCGCGAAAGCACAGGGAGCAAACAGGAUUAGAUACCCUGGUAGUCCGUGCCGUAAACGAUGAAUACUAGGUGUAGGGGGUAUCGACUCCCUCUGUGCCGCAGUUAACACAUUAAGUAUUCCACCUGGGGAGUACGGCCGCAAGGUUGAAACUCAAAUGAAUUGACGGGG
rnacentral:rRNA from 1 species